rnacentral:rRNA from 1 species
UGGGGAAUAUUGGACAAUGGGCGCAAGCCUGAUCCAGCCAUACCGCGUGGGUGAAGAAGGCCUUCGGGUUGUAAAGCCCUUUUGUUGGGAAAGAAAUCCAGCUGGCUAAUACCCGGUUGGGAUGACGGUACCCAAAGAAUAAGCACCGGCUAACUUCGUGCCAGCAGCCGCGGUAAUACGAAGGGUGCAAGCGUUACUCGGAAUUACUGGGCGUAAAGCGUGCGUAGAUGGUCGUUUAAGUCCGUUGUGAAAGCCCUGGGCUCAACCUGGGAACUGCAGUGGAUACUGGGCGACUAGAGUGUGGUAGAGGGUAGCGGAAUUCCUGGUGUAGCAGUGAAAUGCGUAGAGAUCAGGAGGAACAUCCAUGGCGAAGGCAGCUACCUGGACCAACACUGACACUGAGGCACGAAAGCGUGGGGAGCAAACAGGAUUAGAUACCCUGGUAGUCCACGCCCUAAACGAUGCGAACUGGAUGUUGGGUGCAAUUUGGCACGCAGUAUCGAAGCUAACGCGUUAAGUUCGCCGCCUGGGGAGUACGGUCGCAAGACUG